UAGCGCGGUGGUCCCACCUGACCCCAUGCCGAACUCAGAAGUGAAACGCCGUAGCGCCGAUGGUAGUGUGGGGUUUCCCCAUGCGAGAGUAGGGAACUGCUAGGC
rnacentral:rRNA from 1 species